ACUUUCCCCCCUUUGUGCCCGUGUUUACGGUGGUUGCAGUGUCGUUUUGGCCUGGUGUCAGUGUGUUGUCGGUGCUGCUUGGUGGAUUUAAUGACUGUUUGCCUCUCAGGUAUGUGUAUUUGUAUAAGCUUGUUGUAUUGUGAUCCUUCGAUGUGCUGUUAACAUUGUUACAUGCUGAAUAGGUGCGUUUCCUGUACCCCAGGGUGCUAUCGGUGGGCAUGAUUUAUAGAUCUGUGCCUGUACAUUUUCUAUUUUGCAUGAUACCUUGACGGUAAGUGUUUUAAGUAUAAUUAUAAUUCAUGAAUGAAAAAGUAUGAGGAUUUGUAACGUUUCUUUUUGUGUUCGUUAUAGGAUUCUCCCUCUCGUUCUUUCUUGUUUUAUAUUGUAUUUACUGCUGUUUUCCGCUUUGCGCUGCUGACGUUCUGCUCACAAUCCUACGGUUUUGCUGUUCACACUGUCGUGCAGACGCCAUCAUCGUUGUCGAAAGGGGAUUGUUCGUCUGAUUCCUAUUGUUUCGUUUCCUGCUUGUGCAUCAACAUGGAGAAUAUGACGAUCUCAUUUUAUUGAGAGAGAAUAACUGUUUAGUUUUGUCCUUUUAUUUUCUUUUGAUUAAUUUUGUGGGAGUCAAGUUUGUCUUGUUCUUUUUGGUUCUCGUACACUAUAUAUAUAUAUAUAUAUAUAUAUAUAUUAUGCAAUUAUAUACUGUUGUGUUUGCUGUUUUAUUUGUAUGUUAUUUUUCCUUUUAUUAAUGCAACUUGAUUUACAUGCCGUUUACAUCUAACCUCAAGUUGCUUUGUAAUUUUGUUUGAAUUUAUUUGAUUUUUCCUAAUGUUUUCUUCUAGUCUUAUGUGGUAUUGAUACCCACCUUUGUUUGGAGUUGUUUUAUUAGUUAAUUGAUGUUUAUGUUGUAUUUUGUUUUAAGUUAAUGGUGUUUAAUUGUUUGUUAUAGUUUAUUUAUUUAUUUUUGGUUUAUUGCAGGAGCUGGGGUCCCACGGGUAAACGGAUCCUCCUCUUUGUGGUGGUGGUUCUUCUUUAUUGCGUGCUGUGUACCACUUUGAGUGUGUGGUAGUGUGAUCUGAGUGCACCUUGGUGUGUGUGCGCGUGAAAGUGUGCCCUUGUAAAACCAGACUCCAUUUGUUUCCUGCCGUUGGGAGCCUCAGCCCUGCUGGUAUUUAUUUUGCUUUCAUAUUUAAAGUUGAUUUUGUGUCAUUAUCUACAUUCAUUCUUUUUGUAAAUUCAUUUUUUUUCAUUUAAAGUGGGAUCUCCUGUUGCUGCUUUGACAUUUUAGUGUCCAUUUUAAAACAUUCUUGUAUUAAUAAACAUUUGUAUUUUUUUAUUAUA